rnacentral:lncRNA from 12 species
GGAUUCUAAUUUGUUGACAAGGACAUAGGUAUUCCUGUUGGGAUCCACUUCCUUCACAUCAAGGCCGAAAACCAGCUCCAAGUGCUCAGAGGCUUUCCUGAGGAUCUCGUGGAAUUGAUUCUUGUACAUCUGGAUUACAUUUCUCAACAUAUCUGCCUUGGAAAAAAUGGAGAUACGUAGCAGCUGUCAUGAACUGUGAAGAGGCUAAGAUUUUUAUCCUUCUUGCAAGCUAACAAGUUAGCCUGUCACUUCUUGGAUGCUGGCAAAAAGCAUGAGGCUCUUGGGUAAGAGACAAAGAACUUUAUUCUCAUAACAGUUCUAGUCGCCAGAGUACCUGCAUUUUCUUACAGUUGUAACCCAAACCCCAGUAACCACAGACUGACAUGAAGAGGGCCAAGUAAUACCAACACAUGCAGUGAGUUGCAUUGCAGGAGAGGAGCUCUGUGCUUAGGUAACCUGCAUC